rnacentral:rRNA from 1 species
AUACGGAGGAUCCGAGUGUUAUCCGGAUUUAUUGGGUUUGAAGGGUGCGCAGGCGGGAGAUUAAGUCGGCGGUGAAAUUUUGCAGCUCAACUGUAAAAGUGCCUUCGAAAAUGGUUUUCUUGAGUGUAGAUGAAGUAGGCGGAAUUUGUGGUGUAGCGGUGAAAUGCAUAGAUAUCACGAGGAACUCCGAUUGCGCAGGCAGCUUACUAAACUACUACUGACGCUCAGGCACGAAGGCGUGGGGAUCAAACAGGAUUAGAUACCCUGGUAGUCCACGCAGUAAACGAUGAUUACUAGCUGUUUGCGAUACAAUGUAAGCGGCUGAGCGAAAGCGUUAAGUAAUCCACCUGGGGAGUACGUUCGCAAGAAUGAAACUUAAAGGAAUUGACGGGG